GUGAAUCAUCGAAUUUUUGAACGCAAAUUGCGCUUCCUGGCAUCCCGGGAAGUAUGCCUGUUUGAGGGUCAGUAUUAAUAAAAAAUCGGUUUAGUUACAAAUUGUGACGUUUCCGGGUUUGGGCUUAUCUUAACUUUUUUGGUUAAGAGGCUUAAAAUUGACCUUUUUUGCGCAUUUUUAAACGAACAUAAUUUUUUUUUUUUCUUUUUUUCUUAUUCCAAAAAUCUUUUAAAAUCC
rnacentral:misc_RNA from 1 species